rnacentral:rRNA from 1 species
CACGUAGGGUGCGAGCGUUGUCCGGAAUUAUUGGGCGUAAAGAGCUCGUAGGCGGUGUGUCGCGUCGGCCGUGAAAACCUGCAGCUUAACUGUGGGCUUGCGGUCGAUACGGGCAUCACUGGAGUUCGGCAGGGGAGACUGGAAUUCCUGGUGUAGCGGUGGAAUGCGCAGAUAUCAGGAGGAACACCGGUGGCGAAGGCGGGUCUCUGGGCCGAUACUGACGCUGAGGAGCGAAAGCGUGGGGAGCAAACAGG